UAUGUAAUCCUGAGGGACUUGUCUUAAAAUUAAUGUUAAGUUAGCUUUUAUGUUAUGUCACAACUUCAAAGUUCAUAACCGGCUUGGCAUGAUACAUGGCUCAGAGAGUAUUUAUUGUGAUUCUUCGAACGGUAGGGAAUCAUUCUUCUGGUUCUUCUCUUGAUCUCACCAUGAUAAUAUGUUUGCUUCAAUUGUUACUUGUACCCAAACUUGCUUUAAUUGUUAGUUGUACACAAACAUUAUAUAUAAGACAACCUUGCUUCUGAUGGCCUCCGAGAAUGCUUUGAUAGCUAGAAGAUCAGGGUUGUUUAUUUGCUUGCGAAAAAAGAAAAAGAAAAAAAAAAUCCUAAACUCCAUAUGAGAUACUAACUCAUGUCAAUGUAAACUGCCACACCAAUAUCUUAUAUGUAAUGCAAUAAAUUAAGCUCAUUCAAUUGGAUGUACAAAUUCAUUACGCUUUAUAACUCAAGACUUGUACCCUAUAGCUAGUUCUACUGAAAAGAAGAAGUUGGAACAAUACUGAUUAACUGUUUAUUUUUCUGAAUUUUUUUUUCUAACUUGGCAAAUAGUAUCCGUAUUUACAUUACCGUUAACCAAAUCUUUUAAGUGCAGGUACCUGGUCUAGUGUUUUGGAUUGAUUUAGGACUCAGGUCUUUCAAUCAACAGUCAAAAAAUUGGCAAGAUUUCACCAAUAAGACAACAAUUCUAAGAGUGCUAACACUAUAAAUCUCAAGAUGCUCCUUGGAUCAAGCUUUGAAAAUAAUAUGGCGGGAAAAUCUGAACUUAUAAAGAUAUAUGGGGAAAACUAUCCACGGAGAAGGCUCCUCAAGUUCAAAUCCGGCCAAAGAAAGUAACGUAGCAAAUAGUCCAACUUCGCCUUUUAUUCCCAUCUAGAAACUGAUCGAAAAACUAUCAAACUCUCUGUCGAAUGAUAAGAUGAGCUCCAUCCAAAACCUUGGGAAAGACUUCAAGGAGCGAAAAAUUACUCGUCGCAUGAUGGUUGAUCAUCUCAGACUGAUAGUCAAUGAUGACUAUCUGCUCGCCAGCAGUAUCAGAGCCUACAAUAAUGAGUGCAAGGCGGCACGGGUUGUCGAAAAUAUCGUGGAAUAGUGCGGGAGAUGUGAUCCCCAUAAAUAAAAUAAAGUCGUACUCAAAUCAAAUAUUAUGUAAUAAAAUGUUUUUGAAUAUCAUUAUUCUAAAAGAUGGAUACUUAUAAAGAGAAG